UAGUGCUGAUUGUUUCUGAACUCAACGAGACAUCCACGUUUAGUCCAUUCCUCUGAUAUGUGAAAUUGAUGCACACUAUAACAGAUAGUAUAUAGAAUCAUUACACUUUGGCAGCAAGAGCAAGAAAAAGACAUCGAACAGUUGCAUGAUUGUCGAGUAGUCGAAAUCGUUCUAUAAAUCAGGUAUCCUCUUGAUAUGCUGGUAUCUAAUAAAUGUUCCUUGUGUUAAUUUCUUAGAAGUUUGUAAAACACGUAAUAAAAUGAAUCUAAGCACA